CGCUCGGCUUCUCUCUGCUCCGCCCGGCCACCGUUCGGCACGAGUGGGCUCUGCUCUUCGGUGUCCUGCCUCCCACAGCGCUCGCCGCCGGACGCGGCCAGUAGGAUGGAGGCUUGGAGGCUUGGGCUGGGAGAGCGAUAGCGCCCCGUGUCCCCCUAGUCUCCCUCCGAAGCUCUCCUGUCCCUGCCCGGGGUGCCCGCGCCCCCUAUGUCCCUCACGUCCCCCUGUGGCCCCUGACAGCCCCUUGAGCUCCGGCUCGGCUCGGCUGCGUUCGGUUCCCCUUAGCUCCCGCCCCGAGCAGUACCGGCCACCCUGGGCCCCCGCGUUGUGGCCACGUCCAGGUGCCAGGACGGGCGCCUACAUCCCGGGAGGCGGCCCCGAGCGGCCGCCUCGCCCCGCCUCGCCGUGCCCGGGGGCGGCUCUGCGGGCAGCGGAGCGCAGGGCGGGAGCGCGGCAGAGACCUGCUGCGGGCGGGGAUCGGGAGCUGCCCGUGCCCGCUGUCCGCCGGGGACCGGGGCGCUGCUGCGCCGGCACCGCUCGUGCACGGCUGGAACGGGGCUGCGCUCACCACUAUGGAGCCUUCCCAUCUCUCUUGUAUGCUCAUGGCGGAAGAGGGUGACCACGGUGCAAUGGAAGCGGUUGACAUUCAGCCCAAAAAGCCAGUCUGGAGAAUGUCCUUGUUGCAGAAAAUAUGGCAAAAGUCUCACGGAAGAGCCCCGCUUUUUCAAAGCUUGGUAUUCUUCUGUCUUCUGUCCCACCACGAUCGAUACUGGAUCUGCAGCUGGAGCUGUUGUCUGGUCAUCAGUUCUCCAGCGCUUGCUAAGCCAGAGGAACCACCUCUAGGAGUGGAAAGGAAAACGAGGUGGUCCCUGUGAGCAAAGCUAGCCUCUGCGGUGCCCUUCGAACCGAAAACGCCAGAGCAGAGGCACGUGGAAAUUUGCCCCUUCUCUUCCGGUGCCCGUGACGGAGCGUAGCAAAUACGAAAAGAGGAAAUGCUGGAAGAAUUGCCGAAAGAGAGGGGGUGUCCCGGUUCAAGGUUCUACUUCUGCCUUCCUUUGACCGUCUGAGGCUGCCAGAGAAAGUCAAAACCCACGCUCAGCCUGAGCCGUUCCCUCUGCGCGUGGAUGAUCAAGGAGCGCUUGCCACUGUACAGAGCUGCAAACAGCAGAUCGGAUGAGAAGGGUUUCCCCCAAGUGGAUGAAGAGCUGUGGGGUGUUUUCUGAGCAGCAGCUGUGCGCAGCUGGAUCCCUUUGCUGACCGUCUCUGUGCCUGGGGAUUUACUGACCUGUAAACGACCCGCUGCUUUUCUUGUGGGAAGCCUGCAGCGGACAACUGACAUUCUCCUGAGGCGAUGUUGGGCAAAACUUCAAAGGGCCUUGGAAAGGCAGGAGGGUUCAAAGCUCAUCCCAUCAUGGUGCCGUUGGCGGGAGCUUUCUGUCCUUCGAAAGGAAAUGAAGCUGUUUUCAGCCAGGGUUCUGCAGACUUGGCUGAUGGGCACCGAGAGCCAGUCAGAUGGUGGCGAGAGCAGUGGGAAAAAGAAGAAGCUGCUCAUCCGAGGAGAUGAGCGAUGGAUGGUGUCUGGGUUCAAAGCUCUGCCUUCCUCUGACCGUGUGAAGCUGCCGGAGGAGGUCAGAACCCCAACUCAGCCUGAGUUGUUCCUUCUGCAGAUGGAUGAAUGGGAUGCUGCUGCCCUCCAGAGCUGAACAGAGCCGGUAGGAUGAGAAGGAGAGUCUUUUCGGUGCUGACGUUCCUGAAAGCCUUGUGCUGGCAACAAAAAGGGAGCUGCGAGCGUUUGAGAAACGGUGGGCAGGUAGAGGAGCCGUAAGGAAGAGGCACCAAGAGCGGGUCAGACGGUGACAAGAGCAGUGGGAACAGGAAGAAGUUUCUCUGCCAAGACGAGAAAAUGGUUCAUGAGGCAGACCGGGUGCGCAAAUACCGCAGCGCAGGAGUGAAGCCCAGCGAUCAGCCACUGACUGUGCCAAAGUCUCCCGACGUCUCAGGUAGACUCCGGUGCUGACGGGCAUCUGUGUCCGCUCUCUGGACAGGCAGAGAAGAGAGGGAGCAGUUACUUUUGUGCCAUCGCUCUGUCUCAGUGCUAUGCUUGGUUCCAUUCUCGUUACGCUUGAAACGCAGAUGGAGGUGAGCUCUACCUGAGGCAGGUGUCUCGGGCACGGCACGUGGGCAGUGCCGCGUGUUCUCUGUGGCCCGGCUUUGGGUCUAGGCGCCUUGUCCUCCGGAGACUAACCCCUUGGCCUUGUUACUUUAUACAAAUAUCGUGUACCUGAACUAGAUCAAAAUUCCUAACCCGAUUGCUGUCCCUCACUGCUGGGCUGAAUCCCUUUCCUGCAGAGGCUUUGGUGAAAGGCACUUGCCCAACAUGCAACAAUGUGUGUGUCUGGAAGAGGUGCCUUGCUGUCAUACCUCUCGCUCUCCAGUGUGUGUUUCUUAGGCUCGUGGUCAGUGUUAAGCUUGAAUUGUGUGCAGUCUCCGGGGCUUCUGCGAGUCAGCACGUUGCAGGUCUGACCCUGGCAACAGAGGUGUGCCAGGAGCCUUUUGUGCCCCAAAAGGAGAGUAAAUAGCAGUGUCCCCAGGCUGCUUUUCUGUGUCAGACUUUCACAUGGAUGUGAUUUAGAACGUCUUAGCGUAACGACUUUCCACCGGGUGAGAUGCAGUUUGGUUUGGUUUGUCUUUUUGACAAAGUACGUCUAACAGAAUAACUAUUCGAAGGAAUGGUUAUUCUUUUUGGA